GUGGUUUUCUCGUCGGCUGAGGUAAGCUCAGCUGUACCCAGGGUCGCCAUAAGGACCCACUAAACCUUAUGAAAUAAUAAGAGUAGAUUUCUCCCUUUCCUGGGGGUAAAUAUCGGAUGUUUUAUUGAUCUUUAAUUCUAGAUUACAAUCUACUCGGGUUGAAAUACGAUAAGAUAAGUAUUGAAUAUAGGAUGGCAAAUGGACUUCGGAUAUGUUCGUGACUCCAAGGUGAUGAUGCUUAAUUGGUGAUCGGGGAUUCGAUGUUGACUCGUAUCGUAGGCAGGCGGGUGUACGAUUCGUGAACAAUCGGGAGUGAUUAUGUCGGGUGUACGCAAUGAAUACUCGGGUGGUUGAUAUGAGUGGCUAGUCGACGAUCGGAUACUCGGGGAUGACCGUCGGAGGUUGAUUGUGAAGAAGAUAGGGAAUUACGAUGUUGCGUUCGGGUGACGCUUGCGUUGACGAUUUGAAGGUAAUCGGGAACUUGUGUUCGUUGACGAUUUGAAGGUAAUCGGGACUUGUGGUCGUCGGUUGUCGACGAUCAGGAAUUAUGAUGAUUGUGUUCGGGUGAUGCGGUCUGUUGACGAUUUGACGGUAAUCGGGAACUUGUGUUCGUUGACGAUUUGAAGGUAAUCGGGAACUUGUGUUCGUUGACGAUUUGAAGGUAAUCGGGAACUUGUGGUCGUCGGUUGUCGAUGAUCAGGAAUUACGAUGUUGGUGUUCGGGUGAUGAGGGUUGUUGACGAUUAGAGGGUAAUCGGGAACAGCUGUCCAGGUCUUCGUGAGCGGAUUGACAUUCGUACUGGUUGGGCAGCUCGU